UAACACGUGGGUAACCUGCCUUAUAGUGGGGGAUAGCCUUUCGAAAGGAAGAUUAAUACCGCAUAAGAUUGUAGUAUCGCAUGAUAUAGCAAUUAAAGGAGCAAUCCGCUAUAAGAUGGACCCGCGUCGCAUUAGCUAGUUGGUGAGGUAAUGGCUCACCAAGGCGACGAUGCGUAGCCGACCUGAGAGGGUGAUCGGCCACAUUGGGACUGAGACACGGCCCAGACUCCUACGGGAGGCAGCAUGG
rnacentral:rRNA from 1 species